rnacentral:rRNA from 1 species
AGCGAACGCUGGCGGCAGGCUUAACACAUGCAAGUCGAACGCAUCCUUCGGGGUGAGUGGCAGACGGGUGAGUAACGCGUGGGAAUCUACCCAUCUCUGCGGAAUAGCUCCGGGAAACUGGAAUUAAUACCGCAUACGCCCUACGGGGGAAAGAUUUAUCGGGGAUGGAUGAGCCCGCGUUGGAUUAGCUAGUUGGUGGGGUAAAGGCCUACCAAGGCGACGAUCCAUAGCUGGUCUGAGAGGAUGAUCAGCCACAUUGGGACUGAGACACGGCCCAAACUCCUACGGGAGGCAGCAGUGGGGAAUAUUGGACAAUGGGCGCAAGCCUGAUCCAGCCAUGCCGCGUGAGUGAUGAAGGCCUUAGGGUUGUAAAGCUCUUUCACCGAUGAAGAUAAUGACGGUAGUCGGAGAAGAAGCCCCGGCUAACUUCGUGCCAGCCGCCGCGGUAA